rnacentral:lncRNA from 1 species
GCCCUGGGCUGGCGGCCGCAACCGGGGUGGCGGCCGCAGCCAAGCUGGCGGCGCGGCUGCCCCGCUCCAGCUCGCACCCGCGGCUCGCCCGCGCCCGCGCCCACUCGCGAUUGGGCCGGGCCCGCUCGACGCUGCCGCCCACCCCGCUGCCCCCGCCGUCCCUGCCGCACCCGCCGUUGCCCGGCCUGCCGCCCGGCCUGAGCCCCGGGCCGCCGACGCCCUCCGCUCUCGCCCUGGCCGAGCUGCCACCGCUGCCCGCGCUCCCGCUGCGGCCCGAGCCGCUGGCGCCCUGGGGCCCCGGCGCGCAUCUGGCACUGCCCGAGCUGCCGCCCGAAGCCUGCUCACCCGCGCUCUCCGCCGCCGUGCUCGCACUGCAGGACCUGCCGCGCCUGCCCGCGCCCGCGCGCUCCGCCCGCGCUCCUACCGCUGCUUCCGCUGCCCGUGUCCGCCGUCGCCUCAGCCCCUGGGCCCGUGGGCGCGCUCGUCCGCCCGCCCCUGGUCUCCGAGCCGCCGCCGCAUCCGCUUCCGCCGCUGCCCGCGCGACCCUCUCCCUUCAGCCUGCUGACGGCCCCCGAGACCCGCGACCCAUGGCUGCUGUCCGCCUUUCCCCUGCCACCGCCCGUGCCCCUGUCCCCGCAUUUCUUCCUGUCGCCGCCCUGCUGACCUGGCCCCUCCCGCGGCGGGUGAGUAGGCAGCCCCCGACAGGGCCAGUGCCCGUAGCCACCUUCCCCGGGCAUGGAUUCAGAGGACGGGGGUUAGAGCCCAGUUUGGGGAAGAGAGAAGGAGAAUCGGAAGCAGCUCAGGUUUGGUAGAGAAAGGAGCGAGUCUGAAAAUAGACUUGUCUAAAGAUUCGGGUCUUCCAUUUUCCCCUGCUGCCCUCCAGCAGGCCUCUUGCUAGGUUAUUUGAGAAUGUAACCCGUCCCCUGGGCUGAUAACCUGGCUAGUGAUCAGGGCAGCGGGCGGGGCCCACAGCACGUGUCCAAGGAAAUGGGGAUCAAGGGUAUGAAAACAAAAGUUUAAAGUGCUGGGCCGGGCGCGGUGGCUCCCGCCU